AAAGGAUUAUCCGUGUUUGUCCUUAGAAAAAGAGGCCAUAUGCUGCUGGCGAGUGUGGUGGGAUGUAUUUAUAUUGGAUACAGCCUGGAGCCCUGCACUGGAGCUUCUUACUGCCAGGAGAGCUAGUGUGGUGGAGGGGAGAAGCGGUGAAGCCAUUUCUAUCCCAGCAUGCCCAGCAUUUCAGAGAUGACAAGGAAAAUCUUCAUUACCAUUUCAAGAACUGGGAACAAAGAAAAAUCCCGUUCCAGGACGCAAAGGAGGAGAUGCGGGUAGCUGAACAGAAACUUUUGAAGAUUACCAUGGGAAUACACCUGUGAACUUCCAGGUUUGAUCUCAGUUACUCCCUUACUUGAAGAAGGCUUCGAUGAUUCCUCAUGGAGAAAUCCCAGAUACUUCUGCACAUGAUUCAGAGGUCCCUUACAACUGGCUUCAGCCUGCCUUCCAAGCCCUGUCUCUCGCCUCUCCCUUCCUUCACACUGUGCUUCAGCGAGGUAGGAAUGCUUGUGAUUCACCUUCCAGGUCAAGAUGAUUGGCCCCUCG
rnacentral:lncRNA from 1 species